GAACAUAUUCAUAGGUUAGAAAAGAAACAAAACCAACACCAUCCACAAAACAAAGUCAUGGUCCCUCCAGUGCAGCCAGCUCCAUCGUAAGGAAAUCCAGCACAGCACUUGGAUGCCAAACAAGAUGGGAUGAAACACUAAUUAUGGACUUCCACAGGACUUGGAAAGUGAUGAAGAAUGUGUGGAACAUCUGGAAAACAAGUGGUUGGAUGUGAUGGAGUAACUUGCUGAAAGUAGAAAC
rnacentral:lncRNA from 1 species